rnacentral:lncRNA from 1 species
GUGGAGAGGCGAGAGGAGCCGGUGGAGGAGUUGCGGGAGGAGGAGUUGCAGGUGGAGGAGUGGCCGGUGGGGGAGUGGCCGGUGGUGGAGUAGCCGGUGGAGGAGUGGCGGGCGGAGGGGUGGCCGGUGGAGGUGUUGCUGGUGGAGGGGUUGCUGGUGGAGGAGUGGCUGGUGGAGGAGUGGCCGGUGGUGGAGUGGCUGGGGGUGGAGUGGCCGGUGGUGGAGUGGCAGGCGGAGGAGUAGCCGGUGGCGGGGCUGAUACCGGAGGAGGAGACGAGGCGGGAGGAGAUGUAACAGCAGUUGGUGGUGACGCGGCGGGAGUUGUGGGGGUAG